rnacentral:rRNA from 1 species
ACUUGCGGCUGCUUACCUGCAGUCGAGCGGCUGCACGGACUUCGUCUGGUGGCGAGUGGCGAACGGGUGAGUAUGAUAGGAACCUGCCCGGUAGCGGGGGAAACUACGCGAAAGCGUAAGCUAAUACCGCAUACGUCCUACGGGGGAAAGCGGGGGAUCGUAGGACCUCGCCCUAUUGGAGCGGCCGAUAUCGGAUUAGCUAGUUGGUGGGGUACGGCUCACCGAGGCGACGAUCCGUAGCUGGUUUGAGAGGACGACCAGCGACACUGGGACUGAGACACGGCCCAGACUCCUACGCGAGGCAGCAGUGGGGAAGUUGGACAAUGGGUGACCCCUGAUCCCGAACCCGAUGGUGAAG